rnacentral:tRNA from 1 species
GGCAGUGUGGUGUAGUGGUUUGGGUGUUGGACUAUGACUCUGGACACCAGGGUUUGAAUCCUGGCUCGGCCA